AACGAACGCUGGCGGCAGGCUUAACACAUGCAAGUCGAACGCCCCGCAAGGGGAGUGGCAGACGGGUGAGUAACGCGUGGGAACAUACCCUUUCCUGCGGAAUAGCUCCGGGAAACUGGAAUUAAUACCGCAUACGCCCUACGGGGGAAAGAUUUAUUGGGGAAGGAUUGGCCCGCGUUGGAUUAGCUAGUUGGUGGGUAAAGGCCUACCAAGGCGACGAUCCAUAGCUGGUCUGAGAGGAUGAUCAGCCACAUUGGGACUGAGACACGGCCCAAACUCCUACGGGAGGCAGCAGUGGGGAAUAUUGGACAAUGGGCGCAAGCCUGAUCCAGCCAUGCCGCGUGAGUGAUGAAGGCCUUAGGGUUGUAAAGCUCUUUCACCGAUGAAGAUAAUGACGGUAGUCGGAGAAGAAGCCCCGGCUAACUUCGUGCCAGCCGCCGCGGUAAAAC
rnacentral:rRNA from 1 species